AUGUACAUUCCUACAGCAUUAAUGCAUCAAAUCCCAUUAGUAAUAUGUAGUUAAGAACACUUGGGCUAGAGUAGUACUAGGAUAGGUGAACUCCCAGGAAGUCCUAGUGUUUUACAUG
rfam:Picea glauca, whole genome shotgun sequence.